GACGAACGCUGGCGGCGUGCUUAACACAUGCAAGUCGAGCGGUAAGGCCCUUUCGGGGGUACGACGAGCGGCGAACGGGUGAGUAACACGUGGGUGACCUGCCCUCAGCUCUGGGAUAAGCCUGGGAAACCGGGUCUAAUACUGGAUAUGACUCCAUGACGCAUGUUGUGGGGUGGAAAGCCUUGUGCGGCUGAGGAUGGGCCCGCGGCCUAUCAGCUUGUUGGUGGGGGUGANGGGCCUACCAAGGCGACGACGGGUAGCCGGCCUGAGAGGGCGACCGGCCACACUGGGACUGAGACACGGCCCAGACUCCUACGGGAGGCAGCAGUGGGGAAUCUUGCGCAAUGGGCGAAAGCCUGACGCAGCGACGCCGCGUGAGGGAUGACGGCCUGGUUGUAAC
rnacentral:rRNA from 1 species